ensembl:lncRNA
ACAGGGACAGUCACCACUAAGAUUGUUACCAUGUGGAAUGUUAGCCAAUUUAAUUAGUUCUUGAAGGGUUUCAAGAGACACUUGGUAAGACUUUCCAAUUUGCUUCUUAUGAUCUCUGGAGGCUAAACCAAGCAUGUCUUCAGAGUAAUCCAGUGUGCAGAUGGCCAUCCAUUACGCCAGACUUAAAGGAGCAUGCCCCAGAUUGGGACAGCAUGACUGAGCAUUCAGCUGAAAGGUCACGCAAGAAUCCAGCAUGUCUCACGGAAAGAUCUCACAGGAGCUGCAGGUAACUCUCCUAAAGCACAGUCUACUCUCAGAUACUGCCAGAAGGAAGAUUCCAUCCAGAAACCGUGCACCUAAGGAUGCUAAUCAACUUGUUUUCCCCCCUCCAGGUGGUUAUGACUCUAAAAAUGUCUGAAAUUGGUUUCAUUAGCCAUUGCAUCCAAGUAUGAGCUAUGCUCAGUUGCUCGCAGAUACUCUGUGAUGGCAGACAUUAGAGACCCCGAAAUGGCAGCUGUUCAAAAUCUGCCUUCACUCAGAUUCAGUUCCAUGGAAAGAGAUCCAUGAGUGAGAUUUGGACACUAUCAGCCGAGAUUGACCCACAAAACCACAGUCGCAAGACUCUUACUCUCAGGAGGACCCAGUGCGGGGGCCUCAUCUGCUGACACUGGGCUCACUGCAGGCGAUGGCAGGAUUCCUAGGGAACUGUGAACCCUGUGGAUGCUGGCAGAACAGAGUGUACGGCUAAUCGUGGGAGCUCCUCCGCACCCUGUUUGAUUCCAAGAGGCGGUGGAAGUGGGACCAAAUGAGGAAACCCGCAUUUGUAGGAAGCUGUCUUCCUCUGCAGAAAACAAGCAAUGUAAAAUAAUAAAUAGAUAGAUAGUUAAAAAGUAGUGAUAACGAAAUUUGAAAGCUAGGUGAAAGAAUGCCAACAUAAACAUAAUUGGAGUCUGAGAAGAAAAAAUCCAUAAUAGUGAAACAGUGGGAAUACUUAACGGACAUUAUUCAAGGGCACCUUCCUGAAACAAACAAAAGAGGUUAAUUUCAUACUGAAAGGGCUCACAACGUACCAACGAGAAUAGACCCCAAACAGUUAGAACCAAGAUUUAUUUUAGGAAACUUACUGAACCUCCCAAAUGAAGAAUCUCUGUCCUGGGCGGCCAAGCAAGCAUAGCCAGCCAUGGAUGAGAGACACAAUUCAGGCUGGCCUCAGGGCUCUGCACAGCAGCGUCACUGCUAGAGGACGGUGUAGCACCACCUAAACAUUCCUCACACAAAGACGGAGUGAUUCGGACGUUUGUCCCCAGCCGCGCUGCUGUUCGGCACAGAGGAGACGCUCGCAGCUGUGGGCCAGCAGCACCUUCCGUGAUGUUUUUCUCAUGAGCUAUUCCUGAAGGACUCACUAAUGAAAAACGUCACACAACCAGGGAAAUAACCAAAUAACAAAGGAAAAGACUGUUGGUGAAAAUUGAAUUUAUUUAGCCACGGAAAUAAAAUUAAAACAAAAACAGGGACUAGGGUGACAGGUUAGAUUGGAGAUGGUCUAAGGGCUGCUGACAAAAUGAAAGCAUAACUAGAAGAAAGUUGGGGGGAGGAAAAAAAGACACGAGGUAAUGUUUGUGCUCAUUUCUUCAUAUUUAAUGGUGUGGGGCGAAUCCAAAAAUAUUUAAAACUGACAAAUAUAAUAAUCCAUGUGUAAUUGUUUUUAACCAUAGAAGGGAGGUUGUAAUCAAUUAAAAGCAGGCAGUGGGGGCAGGAAAGUCAAGUCGGGAGGAAGGACUGUGCUAAUUUUAUCAUUGCCCACAGUUGGCAAUUAAGAGGUAUUAUCCAAAAAAUAGGUAAUUAAAGGGAUUAUUAAAGUCAUAUUUAUAAAGGCAACCCCAUGAAACGAAAAUACAAAUCUUCUUUGCUAUUAGAGAAAAAUACGCAAUGGAAACAGACUACAUGGAAAUAAUUUUAAGCUAUAAAAAAGAAAACAUAACAUAAAAUGUUAGAAUGUAAACUAAACAUAUCAGUCAUUUCAAUAAAUGAAAGCAGGUUUAAAUAAUCUAUUAAAAUGAAAGCACAGCUUCAUUCUGUAACAAGAGACAUGGAUAAAAUUGGUGAUUAAAAUCUGAGUAUAGAAGUGUGGGCAAAGUUUUAAGCUAGCAUGUAUAUAUAUACAAAGAGAAGGCCAGUAAUUUAUCUUAAUAUGAGAUAAAAUUGAAUCCAUGCCAAAAGUCAUUAUCAAGACAAAGAAAGACACCUUCAAAUACUAAGGGUUGAAGUACAUAAUUUAAUAGUCAUGGACUAACAUACCAACGCAUUAAUAAGAGGAAAGCUGUGCACCAGCAGCAGGAGCCUUUGAUUGGCAUCUUCAGUAUAAGGCAGACAUAGAAGGCUCAAAUACACUAAUUAAUAGAGAUUAUAUAAUUUUUAAUAUAUUAUUAAUAUAUUAAAAUAUGUACCGUGAAAACAAGGAAUAACCUUUUCUUUUUUUUUACUUUCUACUUUUUCUCCCCAAAUCCCCCCAGUACAUAGUUGUAUAUUUUAGUUGUAGGUCCUUCUAGUUGUGGCACGUGGGACGCCACCUCAGCAUGGCCUGAUGAGCAGUGCCAUGUCUGCACCCAGGAUCCGAACCCGUGAAACCCUGGGCCACCGAAGCGGAGCAUGUGAACUUAACCACUCAGCCACGGGGCUGGCCCCAGAAAUAAACCUUUUCAAGUGCUCAUAGAACAGUCACAAAAUGUGAUACAUUGGAUCAAAAAGAAAACUUCAGUAAAUUCUAAAAAUCAUAAGUACAGCUAUUAUCUUGUUUAAUGUGAUAAAACUGGAAUUUAGUAGCACGCCAAGAAAACAAAAAGUCCUCACCACCCGGACUUCAAGGUGUUCUCAAACUAUUUGCCAGAAAAGAAAAUCAAAUGUAAAUGUCAGAAUAACUAUAAAUAACAACAACAACAAGAGUAAAAACAAUACCAAUUCCGCAUAUCAACUUUUGGGAUACAGCUAAAGCAGGAUUCAGAGAAAAAAAUCACGAAUUUAAGUACAGGGGAGAAAGCACAGACACAUAAAAAGGAAAUGAUGAGGGGGAUGAUGAGCAGGAAUGCCAGGGGCUUCUGACCCGUGUGGCCUCGGGGCCAGCUUCCUGGAAAGGAUUUUGAAAAGAUUUUGCUCUUUGAUUUGAAGAUUAUCUCGGCUCAUCUAGAUUGCUUGGCCUGCAUCUUCAAAUUGGUCUGAUCCCCAAACUAUGUCUCUUCUUGAGUCAGAAUUUCAGAUUGCUCAGAUUUUUCUUAGUCUAGACUCUAGAUUAACUGUGGUUCUUUAUUGUUCAGUACAACAUCCUUGUUUUCCACACAUUUGAUAGAAUGGACAGUGAGAGGGGAAGAGAGAGGCUACGGGCAGGAGACACUGUGUAGUGGAAGCCGGAGAAAAGGUAGGCAGAUUCCAGUUAAUUUUCAGUUUUUCUUUGUUAUGGUAUGGCCCAAAUAAUUCGUAAUGAUUUGAUACGUGAAUAGUUUGCUUGCAUCUUUCUGUAUGUCCACAAUGUUUAUGUCAUAAACACUUAUUAAGCAGGUGACUGGCUUUGGUUGCUUAUGGAUUCUAGGCGGUUAGCUUUUGAUGGAGAGCUUGGAACUACACCCGCCCUGGUGGGAGAAGCCACGCUGUAGACUCCUGAAGAUCCAACAGGCUUGCCUUCACGGCAGAGUUCUGGGGAAAAGGUCUGGUCUCCUCAUUGGUCUCCUGGUUAACCAGAAACUCCUUCAUCUGCUCUUGUACUCUGGCCAGUUAUCGCAAGUCCAUCCAACCCCUCGGUUUGAUCUGAGGACCAUUUACAAUAGAUUCCAUUGAGUGUUCUUGUUACAAAUGCAUGUUACUGGCUCCUGUUGAAUCGUAAAUUCUGAGCCUACAGCUGGGGAAUCUGCAUUUUUAGCAAUAUUUUAUGCACUAUAGUUUAACAAUUGCUCCUCUAGAGGGACAUGUGACCCAGAACACCAUUUGGAAAUGUUGAAGGAAGAUGCUAGUGCAAUUGUUCCCCAAAUUUAUUACUCACUGGAAACAUCAGAAGAAACAUUUGGAAAUGCGGAUCUCAGCUACAUCAGAGCCUCAGUUGUUCAGAAUCUUUGAGAGCAGGGGUAGAACUUUGGAAUCUGGACAAGUCACAGAUGAUUUUUCAGCAGGACCAGCGUUUGGAGCCUUAAUGGAGAAAUCUCUCAAUUCCUGGCAUUAGGUGCCAACUUCACGUUUACCAUAUGCAUGUUUUUCUUUAUUGAAUUAUACUAUCAUUUUCAACCACUUUGCAUUCUUUUACUUUUUAAAAUUGUAUAAUUUAUAUACAGCAAAAUUCAUUCUUUUUGGUGCAUAGUUGUGUGAGUUUUGAGAAACACAUGCAGUCAUGUAACCCCAACCACAAUUAAAAUACAGAAAAUUCCUUUACCCGCCAAAAUUCUCUGGUGCCCUUAUUAUCAUCCCAACCCCAAACCCAGCCCCUGGCAACCACUGACCUAUUGACUUUCCCUGUAAGUUUUGGUGUAGAAUACUUAUGUGAUAUUCCGAAAAUCAUGUAAAUGGGUUUGCAAACGCAGCCUCUGAGCCGG